GGGAGAGAAUCGGCUCCUCCCCCUUCUCUCUUUUUCUUCCUUCUUCUUUUCGUCCUUCUUCUUUCUUUUUUGGUUGCUCACACUUCUUUCCACUCCCCUCCACAAACCAACAGCUGCGACCUCCCACCAGCCACUUUUCCGGCCAGUUUUGGUCACCGGCCAACCACCUUUUCCGCCCAACAUUCAUGCAAGCCUUUAGUUCACUCAUUAUCAAGGUGCAAUUGAAGGAGUCUACACUUGGAUUCUAUUGUUGAUUGGAGUAGCAAGCUUGAGUAGGUGAAGUUCAAGAACUUGGAAAGUUUUGGGUAAGAGAAGGAUGGGCUUACCGAAUAAUAGGUAGAUUGAGGCUGGAGAAUUCAAGGUUGAGUAUUGGUUUACAUAGCUAAUUUUGGGGAGUGCAAGGUAGGGAAAUUCUACCCUUUGCUAUUCUCUUUGAAUAUGUCUUCCUAUUAGGAAUAUUUAUCUUUUCUCGUUGUUCAUUAUGAUUUCAUUCUCGCCUUAAUUGCAUCUAAGGGAGACCAACCCCACUUUGUGAUUUCUUCGUUGUAUGACUUGAGUUAUAUUGCAUACCCUACUUGUUCAAUCUUCCAUUGAGCA